GCGUAGGUGGUUGUUUAAGUCUGCUGUGAAAGCCCCGGGCUCAACCUGGGAAUGGCAGUGGAUACUGGACAGCUAGAGUGCGGUAGAGGGUAGUGGAAUUCCCGGUGUAGCAGUGAAAUGCGUAGAGAUCGGGAGGAACACCAGUGGCGAAGGCGGCUACCUGGACCAGCACUGACACUGAAGCACGAAAGCGUGGGGAGCAAACAGGAUUAGAUACCCUGGUAGUCCACGCCCUAAACGAUGCGAACUGGACGUUGGGUGCAACUUGGCACUCAGUGUCGAAGCUAACGCGUUAAGUUCGCCGCCUGGGGAGUACGGUCGCAAGACUGAAACUCAAAGGAAUUGA
rnacentral:rRNA from 1 species